rnacentral:rRNA from 1 species
GUGUCAGCAGCCGCGGUAAUACGUAGGUGGCGAGCGUUGUCCGGAUUUACUGGGCGUAAAGAGCGCGCAGGCGGUCGUAUGAGUCGCGUGUGAAAGCCCCCGGCUCAACUGGGGAGGGUCACGCGAUACUGUUCGACUUGAAGGCAGGAGAGGGAAGCGGAAUUCCCGGUGUAGUGGUGAAAUGCGUAGAUAUCGGGAGGAACACCAGUGGCGAAGGCGGCUUCCUGGCCUGUUCUUGACGCUGAGGCGCGAAAGCUAGGGUAGCAAACGGGAUUAGAAACCCCUGUAGUCC